GCUUCCUGUUGGCUCCUCCCUUUCCCUGCCCAGCCUCUCUGUGGGGACUGGUGGCCUCCCGUCCCCUCCCGUCCCCUCCCGUCCCCUCCCGGGGACGAUGGGUGGGGUCCCCGAGUCCCCCUGGCCCAUGGGUUCUGAGGAGUGGCUUUGGAGCUGUGGGGGUCAUGGGGCUAAGCCGCGGGCGGGUGGGUGUGCAGGUCACUCUGGAGGGCAGGGUGCCCUCACGUCACGUCCUUCAGGCGCUGCCUCCCCUAGGUCUGCGUGUCAGUGAUGGCGCCGCACCAGAUGUUCAUUUAAACAUUGACGCUCCCGCUGGCCCUGCUCUGUCUCCUCCCAGCUGACCGUAGGAGCAGAGAGAGACAGAGAGAGCGUGAGCAGGGGAGGGG